GAAACUUCCUAUCUUAAGUCCUAAGUUAAGAUAGGAGAAGUGGAGAUAGGAUUUUUCUCAAUUUGGUAUUACAGAAACAUAUCCUAUCUUAAUUUAGGAAUCCUAUCUUAUCUCAGGUUAAGAUAUCCUAAGUAGGCGAUCUAGCAUCGACAUUCAGCUUUUAUGUCUGUUACCUAGCAACUGAUGAAAUUGUUGUCGGAUCACGUCACUUCACAGCUGACAACUGUCAUAAUCCUAAAAUAUCCAAAAACAACUGCUAGCUAUGGAUGGGAUUGGGAAAAUACAACGUUGUGCCGAAAAUUUUAAAGCGGACGAAAUAGAAAAGUUGGUGAGUUUAGUAGAAAGCUCAAAGGAAAUAUUGUAUGGGAAAUUUUCUAUGAGUCUGACCAAAGAAAAGAAAGACCAAGAAUGGCUGAAAAUAGCCGAAAAGGUGAGCACCGUAUCAGGGAUCAGUAGAAACGUUGAAAACGUCAAGAAAAAAAAUUACCACACUGACAAGUGACGUUAAGAAAAAAGCAACGUUAAUUUGUAAAGACCGGAGAAUUACCGGUGGUGGCAACUCUUCCGCUACCCCCCUGACACCGGCGGAGGACCGGAUUGUGGGACUCCUCAGCAAGGCUGACUACGAGGGUAAGGCCAGUUUAUAGACCUCCGUAAAGUGCUGUUGGUAGACACGGAGAGCCUGUCGGAGAUCCUUUUUUUUUUUUUCGGAAUGACUUCUCCCGUUUGACUCUGCACAUUGUUUACUUUGCACAUUAAGGACCAAUGAAACACCAAAUAAGAUUUGAAAAGCUUUGGAAGUUUAUUUACAACCCUAUUUACAUGGUUUGUAGUCAACAUAUCGAUCGGACGGCGAAUUGCAUUGCGUAUCCGACAUCCCGACGGAGAACUUUGAAGAGUGAAUUCGCUUAUGUCUAUCUUAUAAUGUUUGACGUUCUCGUUCUCCCUGCUAGUGAUUAUGUUUCUUGACUUUAUAUUAUAGCUGCUAUGAUAUGAUAUAUGAUAAGAAAGACAUACUAAUGAACAUUCUGGCUGUCCAUGCAGGCAUCGAUGGAGGCUUUGAGACUGGGUUGCCAGUGGACUUCUUGGAGACCACAACUUCAGUCAGUGAAGUUGUUGAAGUCGAUGCUACACAACCGCCUCCUGAAAAGAAAACACGUCCGCUGAAGUCAUCACCAGAAACCCUUGCUCUGCUAGAAAUUGAGAGUGAGAAGCUUCAAUUAUACAGAGAGAGAGUCGCCAUAGAAAGAGAGCGACUCCUCCUUGAGAGGGAAACAUUUGAAUGGGAGAAGAGGAGGGCCAGAGUGUGCAAAAAAUGUUUAACUGAAAUAUAAAUGAAUGAAUUGUAAUCUUGA